GAUGAACGCUGGCGGCGUGCCUAAUACAUGCAAGUCGAGCGAAUGGAUUAAGAGCUUGCUCUUAUGAAGUUAGCGGCGGACGGGUGAGUAACACGUGGGUAACCUGCCCAUAAGACUGGGAUAACUCCGGGAAACCGGGGCUAAUACCGGAUAACAUUUUGAACCGCAUGGUUCGAAAUUGAAAGGCGGCUUCGGCUGUCACUUAUGGAUUGACCCGCGUCGCAUUAGCUAGUUGGUGAGGUAACGGCUCACCAAGGCAACGAUGCGUAGCCGACCUGAGAGGGUGAUCGGCCACACUGGGACUGAGACACGGCCCAGACUCCUACGGGAGGCAGCAGUAGGGAAUCUUCCGCAAUGGACGGAAGUCUGACGGAGCAACGCCGCGUGAGUGAUGAAGGCCUUCGGGUCGUAAAACUCUGUUGUUAGGGAAGAACAAGUGCUAGUUGAAUAAGCUGGCACCUUGACGGUACCUAACCAGAAAGCCACGGCUAACUACGUGCCAGCCGCCGCAGUAA
rnacentral:rRNA from 1 species